rnacentral:rRNA from 1 species
CACCAGACUCCUACGGGAGGCAGCAGUGGGGGAUAUUGCACAAUGGGCGCAAGCCUGAUGCAGCGACGCCGCGUGGAGGAAGAAGGUUUUCGGAUUGUAAACUCCUGUCUUCAGGGACGAUAAUGACGGUACCUGAGGAGGAAGCCACGGCUAACUACGUGCCAGCAGCCGCGGUAAUACGUAGGUGGCAAGCGUUAUCCGGAUUUACUGGGUGUAAAGGGAGCGUAGGCGGUGAUGCAAGUCAGAAGUGAAAGCCCGCAGCUCAACUGCGGGACUGCUUUUGAAACUGUAUGACUAGAUUGCAGGAGAGGUAAGUGGAAUUCCUAGUGUAGCGGUGAAAUGCGUAGAUAUUAGGAGGAACACCAGUGGCGAAGGCGGCUUACUGGACUGUAAAUGACGCUGAGGCUCGAAAGCGUGGGGAGCAAACAGGAUUAGAUACCCCAGUAU